rnacentral:rRNA from 1 species
UACGGGGGGGGCAAGCGUUGUUCGGAAUUACUGGGCGUAAAGGGCGCGUAGGCGGUUUGCUAAGUUGGACGUGAAAACUCUGGGCUUAACCCAGAGCCUGCAUCCAAAACUGGCAAGCUGGAGUAUUGGAGGGGGAAGCGGAAUUCCUGGUGUAGCAGUGAAAUGCGUAGAUAUCAGGAGGAACACCGGUGGCGAAGGCGGCUUCCUGGACAAUAACUGACGCUGAGGCGCGAAAGCUAGGGGAGCAAACAGG